rnacentral:rRNA from 1 species
UACGUAGGGGGCAAGCGUUGUCCGGAAUCAUUGGGCGUAAAGAGCGCGCAGGCGGUCGAGUAAGUCGAAUGUGAAAGCCCCCGGCUUAACUGGGGAGGGUCAUUCGAUACUGUUCGACUUGAAGGCAGGAGAGGGCAGCAGAAUUCCCGGUGUAGUGGUGAAAUGCGUAGAUAUCGGGAGGAAUACCAGUGGCGAAGGCGGCUGCCUGGCCUGUUCUUGACGCUGAGGCGCGAAAGCUGGGGGAGCAAACGGG